rnacentral:rRNA from 1 species
AGCGGCGGACGGGUGAGUAACGCGUGGGUAACCUGCCCUGUACACACGGAUAACAUACCGAAAGGUAUGCUAAUACGAGAUAAUAUGCUUUUAUCGCAUGGUAGAAGUAUCAAAGUUUUUGCGGUACAGGAUGGACCCGCGUCUGAUUAGCUAGUUGGUAAGGUAACGGCUUACCAAGGCGACGAUCAGUAGUCGACCUGAGAGGGUGAUCGGCCACAUUGGAACUGAGACACGGUCCAAACUCCUACGGGAGGCAGCAGUGGGGAAUAUUGCACAAUGGGCGAAAGCCUGAUGCAGCAACGCCGCGUGAGCGAUGAAGGCCUUCGGGUCGUAAAGCUCUGUCCUCAAGGAAGAUAAUGACGGUACUUGAGGAGGAAGCCCCGGCUAACUACGUGCCAGCAGCCGCGGUAAUACGUAGGGGGCUAGCGUUAUCCGGAAUUACUGGGCGUAAAGGGUGCGUAGGUGGUUUCUUAAGUCAGAGGUGAAAGGCUACGGCUCAACCGUAGUAAGCCUUUGAAACUGGGAAACUUGAGUGCAGGAGAGGAGAGUGGAAUUCCUAGUGUAGCGGUGAAAUGCGUAGAUAUUAGGAGGAACACCAGUUGCGAAGGCGGCUCUCUGGACUGUAACUGACACUGAGGCACGAAAGCGUGGGGAGCAAACAGGAUUAGAUACCCUGGUAGUCCACGCCGUAAACGAUGAGUACUAGCUGU